AUGGAGAGGGUCUGGAGGCUCUUUUUCCUGCUGGCAGCUGCCCAAAGUGUCCAAUCACAGGUCCAGCUGGUACAGUCUGGACCUGAGCUGAAGCAGCCUGGACAGUCAGUGAAGAUCUCCUGCAAGGCUUCAGGGUACACCUUCACAUACUAUGGAAUGCACUGGGUGAAGCAGACACCAGGACAGGGCCUGAAGUGGAUGGGCUGGAUCAAUACCUACAGUGGGAAUCCAACAUAUGCUGAGGACUUCAAAAGUCAGUUUGUCUUCUCUUUGGACACCUCUAUCAGCACUGCAUACCUGCAGAUCGGUAACCUCAAGAAUGAAUACACGGCCAUGUAUUACUGUGCAAAAGGCACAGUGUGA